AAUGAACGCUGGCGGCAUGCCUUACACAUGCAAGUCGAACGGCAGCAUGACCUAGCUUGCUAGGUUGAUGGCGAGUGGCGAACGGGUGAGUAAUGCAUCGGAACGUGCCUUUUAGUGGGGGAUAACGUAGCGAAAGUUACGCUAAUACCGCAUAUUCUCUGAGGAGGAAAGCAGGGGACCUUCGGGCCUUGCGCUAGAAGAGCGGCCGAUGUCGGAUUAGCUAGUUGGUGAGGUAAAGGCUCACCAAGGCAACGAUCCGUAGCGGGUCUGAGAGGAUGAUCCGCCACAGGGGGACUGAGACACGGCCCAGACUCGUCGGGGAGGCAGCAGUGGGGAAUUUGGGACAAGGGGCGCAAGCCUGACCCAGCCAUGCCGGGGGAGAGAAGAAGGCCUUGGGGUGGAAAAGCUCUUUCGGCGGGGAAGAAAUCGCCCCCUCAAAAACGGGGGGUGGAUGACGGUACCAGAAAAAAAAGCACGGGCUAACUCCGGC
rnacentral:rRNA from 1 species